UAAACUAGUGCAUAAAUGAACCCAGUAAUCUGACAAUGCUAAAGAUUUUUUGAGUUAGCUGCUAUACAGAUUCCUUCUCUAUCAGAAGCUCAUGCUAAGCUACCAGGAGAAGUUUAAUUAAUAAAAAUCUUAUUACUGAACUGUGCCGAAAUGGAUAUUGACAUUAGGGAUGCCUGAUUUAGCAGUGAACUGAGAUCGUGGGUUCUGAAUUUCCAAUCAUGCUGUUAAUGUUGAGAUUUUUUUCCUGCCUGUGCCUCAUCGUGCAAAUGCAUGUGCUAGGUACUUGACUGUAUAAAAAUGAUGUGCUGCUUCCAGGAGUAAUUAAAGGUGUGUACAACUGUUGCCAAGAUCUAAGCCCAGAGUGAUACACAUUGCAACCAUGAUCUGGCAAGAGCCAGGGAUUUGAGCUGGAGACCAAACUUGACCAAAGCUCUUGAGAAUAACUGUCUUUGGACUGUUCCUUCUUUCAUGGAUUAGAAAGGUGAAAUUUGGGAAGGAGAAUAAGAGUAUAGGAUCCCAGCUUGAUCCCACAAAACCUUAUUGUUCAGGAAGAAGAUGGAGGAGAAUGGGGAGCAUUGAGAGGUAACACCUGGAAAAAGAGCACCAGACUGAGUUCAGCUGCUCUUGGCAUGGAGCUUGUUUAUCCCAUUUGCCCUGUCACUCACAGCAUUAUGCAUUCCAUCUCCAGACAGAUGCUCUUAUGAUAAUUUCUGUAAUUCUAUUAGCUUGGAGGAAAUAGGCUUGACUGUCCAUUUGAUUUUAUUUCUUUUUUCCAGAGUACUCGGCUGCUUGGUCUUUUAGCUUAACCCUUUGUAGAUACUUUUUUUUUUUUUUUUUUUGCGCAUUUCCAGGGCAUUGAGGCUAGAUGUUUUCCCUUUCUACCUUGUUGAUUUCUAUGUAUUAGCAGGAUUAUAACUGAGAUUUUUGUUUCUUUUUAGUCCCAACUAGAUAUGAGCUAAGAUCAUAACCUGUGUUCCCCAAAAGUCAGUGCUUAAGCCUGAAUAAUUUGGAAACAUCUGAUCUGUAAAGGCAGCAAAGAGCUAUUGCAACAAGAGAUACAGUAAUUUCCGCUAAUAGAAAACAUGAACUACUCAGCGGCGUGCUCCUCAAGGGAAUUCUGCAAGAUCAGAAACCAGACUUUAUUUAAUCUGCUUGGCUGAGGAAGGGAGAGCACAACAGGAACAGAGAACCUGGAGUCUGAAUGGUAUCUGGGUCAGAGAGAGGACACUGGGUAGGAGGAUGGAUUCGGUGAGGCAAAUGGAAAAGCACUAACUGCAUGGACUUCUACUUGGAUAAAACAAGCUGUUACAAGUCAGCUUUGAUGAAGUGGCUUGUGCUGUUGCCUUCCCUUACUCCGAAAA